GACGUAGGUGGCGAGCGUUAACCGGAAUCAUUGGGCGUAAAGGGUGCGUAGGUGGCAUGAUAAGUUAUUAGUGGGAAAUCGAGGCUCAACCUCGUGGAAGCUGGUAAUACUGUUUUGCUUGAGUGCAGGAGAGGUUAACGGAACUCCAUGUGGAGCGGUAAAAUGCGUAGAUAUAUGGAAGAACAUCAAUAACGGCGAAGGCAGUUAACUAUUCUGCUACUGACAUUGAGGCACGAAAGCGUGGGGAGCAAAACGG
rnacentral:rRNA from 1 species